rnacentral:rRNA from 1 species
CCUACGGGAGGCUGCAGUGGGGAAUAUUGGACAAUGGGGGCAACCCUGAUCCAGCCAUGCCGCGUGUGUGAAGAAGGCCCUCGGGUUGUAAAGCACUUUCAGUGAGGAAGAACGCCUGGUGGUUAAUACCCAUCAGGAAAGACAUCACUCACAGAAGAAGCACCGGCUAACUCCGUGCCAGCAGUCGCGGUAAUACGGAGGGUGCGAGCGUUAAUCGGAAUUACUGGGCGUAAAGCGCGCGUAGGUGGCUUGAUAAGCCGGUUGUGAAAGCCCCGGGCUCAACCUGGGAACGGCAUCCGGAACUGUCAAGCUAGAGUGCAGGAGAGGAAGGUAGAAUUCCCGGUGUAGCGGUGAAAUGCGUAGAGAUCGGGAGGAAUACCAGUGGCGAAGGCGGCCUUCUGGACUGACACUGACACUGAGGUGCGAAAGCGUGGGUAGCAAACAGGAUUAGAUACCCUAGUAGUC